UCAGGUAGGGAUACCCGCUGAACUUAAGCAUAUCAUA
rnacentral:rRNA from 1 species